GUCUGCAGAGGGAAUUAAGCUGGCUGCAGGGAACGGCCCCCCCAGCUGGGUGUGGAGCACAGCUCUGGCUUCCAGCCCUCAGAGCUGGGUCCUGCGUGAGCAUUCUGAAAAGGCUGCAGAAUGCUCUGGGGGAAGAGAGCUCUGCCUUCACCAGAGGGUAUGGGUCUGAGGUAUAGAAACUUCUGGUAGGUUCUUCGGGGCUCUGUUGUUUUGAUACCUGCUAUUGUUGCAGCAGACCCCCAGGGAGAGAGCAGCUCUAUUAAUGACCCUUGGAGGAUGGCUGGGCUAUUUCCACCUGCCCCACACAGUCUCAAUCCUUAAGUACUCCGGGCUUCUCCAAGUCGACCGGGAGCAGUGGUCCUCAGCCCUGGCACUUCCUCAGUCCUGUUUUAUUCUCACCCUGGAGUUCUCAGGUUGGUCCUAGAGCACCAGGAAGUGAUGGCCCAGAGCUCACUGCUAGGGGAAACCACGGUGCCACACGGAUUCACCGCGGAGUCCUGAGCCAACAGCCACUGAGAUGACGCAUGCUCUCUUUCUAAGCCGAGGGUGCGUGGUCACCUGUCAGCCCUUGUCCAAGGACAAGCAGGCACAGGGGCCGCUGUUUAAGAAAACUUCAUGGAGAACGAGCUGACAAGAUGUUACUGAUGGUUUUGGAACCUGGACCCUGUAUCAGCGAGACUCCACGUGGGAGAGAAAGGGCCAGGGCUCCCCGGCUCUGCCUCACCGCCCAGCUCGCGCUCCAGGUUGGUAAGGACUGUCAUGGAUGAGCCUCUGGUCAUGCUUGUGAGCACACGUCCCAGCUCUACAGUCUUGGCUGGGCAGAAAGGAAACCCAGCCCCGUCAGAAAGCAGAUUAGGGGUUGUCUAGGGAGCGGACAGGGGGCAGCUGGGGAGUGACCGCUAACGAGUAUGGGCGGGGAGGUGUUCUGAGGGUGACUGGUGCUGGUGGCACAGAGCUGGGAAGAUAGUAAUAACCAUGGCCUUGUAUACCGUAAAUGGGGCCGUUGUAUGGUCUGUGAACUGUAUCUCAAUAAGGCUGUUCUAGGACAAAGAAAGUGGGAGACCCUGGUGGAGGAAGGUCAUGGGAGCACAGUCAUGUUCGAAGCUUCCGAGGAAUCAGCUGGGGUUGUCCCCAAACUUGCUUCCAUCACUUGCGCGUGCAACUCUGCAAUUUACAUAUUACAUAAGCACCGAGGUGGACUCUAUGUAAAUGAGGUAAGUGCUUCAACAGGUCCCCUAAAAGGCAGGUUUCUUCUAGGAGGUGGUUGCUGAGUGAUUGGGGGCUGGGGGCGAUCUGGAAACUCAGCCACAAGGACUCUGAUUUCUUUGAAAGAGUCUUAAAUGUUUGUUCACUUUAACAAAAUGAAGACUGGAGAUGCUGGGUGUGGUUAAUGCAGGAAAGGUGACCCGGAACACCCGUGAGCUGGCCUGCGUCUCCGGCAUAGGCCUCGGCACCACAUUAAAAGAUGGAAUAUGUUUAAGUGAAAAUAAAACAUUAAGGUCUAAACGUGUAAUUUUUAGAGACUUCCUCCUCUAACCAGUUCUGCCUGCUCCCUCUUGGUCCUGUUGACAGGUCAGAGGGUCUCCGUACAGAACAGCAACAUUUCAGACAGGAUGGGGCUGGGGCGGGGGGAGGACUGGGCAGGGGAGCACCCACUCGCCCCAGAGACGGAUGGGGCGAAUGCUCACAGGCCGUAGGCAGGUGUACAGAUGUGGAUUCUUCCCACGGAGAGCCCAAGGCCCCAGCCGGACCUUCUCCACCUGGGAGGCCCCUUACCUGUGCAUUUUAACACAGUCUCUCUCAGCUCCCGUUUCUCUUUCCGAAGCUGAGCCAGGUGCCCCCGGAUUUCUUCCUUCUUCUUCUCCAGCCUCUCCUUCUCCUCUGUGUACCGCUUCACCUCAGCUUCUGUCCUAUUCUUGCCAAGUUUGAUCUCUACGGACGCAGAGAGGAGAAGCCCCAGGUCAGUGAGGGGGGCACAUAAGGGCCAUCCCAACCGCACCCCCCUCCCCCCCGCAGGCUCAGACAACCCGGGGCUCUGGCACUGGGUCAGCUGAACACGAGGCCAACCUGGCAGGGAUAGACAAAGAAAUUGGGCCCACACUUUCUUUGCUGUGUGACCUUGGGCAAGUCCCUUCACCCCUCUGAACCUCUGCUUCCUCGUCUGAAAGGGAGGGAACUGGACUAACUUCUCUGAGCCAUUUCCAAAACAUUCGACUCUUUUCUAGCUCAGGCACCUGCAGUGGUCACCCUCAACCUGUCCUUCACAGGUGGACUGGCCCCAGCUGGGGUGACGGCCGCAGUGUCGGGGCAGCUUGACGGGAAGGAGAUCUUCUGCUGUUCGGUCUGGAUUUUGACGGUUGUGGUUCUCGGGGAAGGCUCCUCGGGCUCUGGACUCUCCUGCCGCGGCGUCUGCUUCGGAAGAAAGCAAACACGGCUUAGCCGGCCCAGGGGCGGCCAAGGUUCCUAGACCCUGCAGGCGACUUGGAGUCCGCCCGUCUUAGGGACAAUCUGCUGAUCUCUGGCAUCAAGGUUCGGCGGCAGGGAGGACGGGACAGCCCAGGUGGCUGCCCAGCCUGGGUCCUUACCACGGCCGUCAGCUCCGAUGUCUCCACGUCGUCAUACAGCAUCUCCUGGCGGUCCUGUCUGGGCAGGCCGUCGAUGUAAGUGUUCGGCUCUGAGAACUUUCUCUGCAUCAGCCUGGAAAACCCGGCAAGACGCAGUGAGAGGGGGAUGAGGACAGGGCAGUGAAAGCCACCAGUCUCAAAGAAUUCAUGACAACGAGGGGAGGUGCAGGGGACCUGGGCACCAGCAUUGACCUCAUUCUCAACUCC